UUAAGUUCAGCGGGUAUCCCUACCCGAUCCGAGGUCAACCUUUAGAUAUGAUAUGUUUAACGGCGAUGGACCACCCUUUCCCAAAGCGAAUUUGAUUCACAACGCUGAGUUCGGAGUUUUCCAGCCGCGAGACAUUGAGGUCGGGAUCGCCUCCCUGACCCAAUACCAAGCCUGGCUUGAUUGGUGAAAUGACGCUCGAA
rnacentral:misc_RNA from 1 species